UGAAUGUCAAAACGACUCUCGGCAACGGAUAUCUCGGCUCUCGCAUCGAUGAAGAACGUAGCGAAAUGCGAUACUUGGUGUGAAUUGCAGAAUCCCGUGAACCAUCGAGUCUUUGAACGCAAGUUGCGCCCGAAGCCUUCGGGCCGAGGGCACGCCUGCCUGGGCGUCACGCAUCGCGU
rnacentral:rRNA from 5 species